rnacentral:rRNA from 1 species
GCCUACUGGUUUCGGAGCGCAGCACAAUCUUGCACUUCUGAUCAGCCAUGGUUGAGCAUCCAUCAAGACAUAAAUUUUUUU